rnacentral:rRNA from 1 species
UACGGAGGGUGCAAGCGUUAUCCGGAUUCACUGGGUUUAAAGGGUGCGUAGGUGGGCAGUUAAGUCAGUGGUGAAAUCUCCGGGCUCAACCCGGAAACUGCCAUUGAUACUAUCUGUCUUGAAUAUCGUGGAGGUAAGCGGAAUAUGUCAUGUAGCGGUGAAAUGCUUAGAUAUGACAUAGAACACCAAUUGCGAAGGCAGCUUCUACCCGAAUAUUGACACUGAGGCACGAAAGCGUGGGGAUCAAACAGG